CAGUCGCCACGGGAAUGCGAAGGGGGCUAGCGUUGCUUGGAAUGACUGGGCGUAAAGGGCGCGUAGGCGGUUUAUACAGUCAGAUGUGAAAUUCCUGGGCUCAACCUGGGGACUGCAUUUGAUACGUAUGGACUUGAGUGGAGAAGAGGGUCGUGGAAUUUCCAGUGUAGAGGUGAAAUUCGUAGAUAUUGGAAAGAACACCGGUGGCGAAGGCGGCGACCUGGUCUUUAACUGACGCUGAGGCGCGAAAGCGUGGGGAGCAAACAGGAUUAGAUACCCCGGUAGUCCCUGUCUCUUAUAC
rnacentral:rRNA from 1 species